AAGCUUAGGUUAAACAAACCAAUGGCCUUCAAAGCCCUAAACAAGAGCAUCCACCCUCCUAGC
rnacentral:tRNA from 1 species